GACGAACGCUGGCGGCGUGCUUAACACAUGCAAGUCGAACGGAAAGGCCCUGCUUUUGUGGGGUGCUCGAGUGGCGAACGGGUGAGUAACACGUGAGUAACCUGCCCUUGACUUUGGGAUAACUUCAGGAAACUGGGGCUAAUACCGGAUAGGAGCUCCUGCUGCAUGGUGGGGGUUGGAAAGUUUCGGCGGUUGGGGAUGGACUCGCGGCUUAUCAGCUUGUUGGUGGGGUAGUGGCUUACCAAGGCUUUGACGGGUAGCCGGCCUGAGGGGGUGACCGGCCACAUUGGGACUGAGAUACGGCCCAGACUCCUACGGGAGGCAGCAGUGGGGAAUAUUGCACAAUGGGCGGAAGCAUGAUGCAGCACCGCCGCGUGCGGGAUGACGGCCUUCGGGUUGUAAACCGCUUUCGCCUGUGACGAAGCGUGAGUGACGGUAAUGGGUAAAGAAGCACCGGCUAACUACGUG
rnacentral:rRNA from 1 species